UAGGUAACCUCCCUGUAGCGGGGGAUAACUUUUGGAAACGAUAGCUAAUCCCGCAUAAGAGUAGAUGUUGCAUGACAUUUGCUUAAAAGGUGCAAUUGCAUCACUACCAGAUGGACCUGCGUUGUAUUAGCUAGUUGGUGAGGUAACGGCUCACCAAGGCAACGAUACAUAGCCGACCUGAGAGGGUGAUUGGCCACACUGGGACUGAGACACGGCCCAGACUCCUACGGGAGGCAGCAGUAGGGAAUCUUCGGCAAUGGGGGGAACCCUGACCGAGCAACGCCGCGUGAGUGAAGAAGGUUUUCGGAUCGUAAAGCUCUGUUGUAAGAGAAGAACGGGUGUGAGAGUGGAAAGUUCACACUGUGACG
rnacentral:rRNA from 1 species